ensembl:lncRNA
AUGUAGGAGAAACCUAAUUGGCUAUAACAUCUCUAUAGGUUCUUAUGCUACUAUUUUCCAGAGACCUGGUACUAAAUGACCUCCUUUGUGGAAAAAAGGACUCUCUGCAUGGCCUCUGAUCCAGUGGUCCAGUUUUGCUUCUUCCACGGUAGCUGGAACCAAAGAGGGAGGCUUCCAAGAAGGAGUAAUAAGAAGCUGACAGUCCUGAAAGGAGCUGGGUCAGAAACUGACAAGAUAUGUGUUCCUCCAUGUUCUAUCCGCCAAGAUAAUCCAUAAGGCCAGCCCAAAUUCAAGGGAAGAACCUCUACCUCUUGAAGGAAUGUGGCUAGUGUAAUCCACCAUUCUAUGGCCUGCCUUGGAUGUUAGACCACUCUUCUUCCUUUAAACAUCAGCUUCCUUAUACUGCAUCCUUUCAGGAAAAACCCAUGAUAAUUCCAUAAUAGAC